rnacentral:lncRNA from 1 species
AACAAAGCAGUGAAGAUACUAUGAUUUUGGUCCAAAAGGAGUAGCUGCACUUAUGUGAGAAUGAAAUACCAUUUUGAUAUUUUGACUCAAUUUGUGGUUCUAAUUUCAACAAUUCACUCUUCAGAAUAUAAAACUGGACUGUGUGAAAUAGAGGCAGAGAGAGGGAGAUAGAGUUGCAGGCAUGCUGUAGAUAAGAGAAGAGAGAGGGAGAUAGAGUCUUCUUAUUUUGAAAUGAAGCAGAGGAAGCUAAUUAUAUUCUGAAAUAGUGGGAAUUGCAGAAAAGUCAGAGAAGAAACUGAGGAUAACCAUGUGCAUGGAAAAUCAUCAAAGAGAGGGGCAACAAUUUUUAACUUCUUCACAAUGA